GUUUAUAAGAACGUAAGAUUGAAAAUCUUGAAGAUUUUGAGUUUAACUAUAUAAGCA
rnacentral:tRNA from 1 species